UUAUUUCAACUCAACUUUAUUUUCCCUUCUCCUUUAUGGUAACUGAAGGUGAAUGAGAUAAUUACACACAGUUUUCCUAUAACGUUUCAGGCUAAUCGUUAUUUCCUAGAAAGUCUCUGGCUAAUUCUCAAAUUUUCUAAAGAUGGAUAAUAGCUCCAGGAAUUAUACUAGUGGGCUAUAGCUGAAAUCGUUUUGAUCUGGGUAGUCUCCUAUCAAAAUUACUUUCACAUACUUAGUAAAACUCAUUACAGGUGAAAGCUACUGAAUGAAAGCCUAGUAAUAGUUAUAGAAGAAAAAAACUUGAAAAAAGUUUUACUUAACAUUGCAAUUAUUUUUAAUUAAGAAACAGCAAUGACAAAUAAUUGCUAGUUAUCACUAUCACGUAAUAAAAAUAUUUUAAAAAUCUGGGUUGUGAUACACUAAAGUUAUGAGAAAAUAUAUUUGUCUGUAGUCUAUAUUCAGUUGAACAGACUUUAAAACUGUGUAUUAAAAGGUCUUUGCAGCCAGGCGUGGUGGCUCAUGCCUGUAAUCCCAGCAUUUUGGGAGGGCGAGGUGGGCAGGUCACCUGAGGUCAGGAGUUCGAGACCAGCCUGGCCAACAGAGUAAAACCCCAUCUCUACUAAAAAUAGAAAACUUAGCCAGGUGUGGUGGCAUGCACCUGUAAUCCCAGCUACUCAGGAGGCUGAGACAGGUAGAUCACUUGAGGUCAGGAAUUCAAGACCAGCCUGGCCAACAUGGUGAAACCCCGUCUCUACUAACAUACAAAAAUUAGCUAGGCAUGGUGGCAGGCGCCUGUAAUCCCAGUUACUUGGGAGGCUGGGGCAGGAGUAUCGCUUGAACCCAGGAGGCAGAGGUUCAAGCAGUCCUUGUGCCUCGGCCUCCCAAGUACCUGGGACUACAGGCAUGUGCCGCUAUGCCCAGGCCUUACUUGCUUCUUAAAUAGAAAGUUACUCCACAGAAGCCAGGUGCAGUGGCUCACGCCUGUAAUUCCAACACUUUGGAAGGCCAAGGUGGGCGAUCACCUGAGGUCAGGAGUUCGAGAUCAGCCUGGCCAACAUGGUGAAACCCUGUCCCUACUAAAACUACAAAAAUUAGCUGGGCUUGGUGGUGGGCGCCUGUA
ensembl:lncRNA novel transcript, antisense to MTPAP